GACGAACGCUGGCGGCGUGCCUAAUACAUGCAAGUAGAACGCUGAAGGAGGAGCUUGCUUCUCUGGAUGAGUUGCGCACGGGUGAGUAACGCGUAGGUAACCUGCCUGGUAGCGGGGGAUAACUAUUGGAAACGACAGCUAAUACCGCAUAAGAGUAGAUGUUGCAUGACAUUUGCUUAAAAGGUGCAAUUGCAUCACUACCAGAUGGCGCUUCGUUGUAUUAGCUAGUUGGUGAGGUAACGGCUCACCAAGGCGACGAUCCAUAGCCGACCUGAGAGGUGAACCGCCCACACGGGAACGGAACAACGCCCCGGACUCCUCGGGAGGGAGGCGGAGGGGAUCCUCGGGAAUGGGCGGAAGGCUGGACGAGCCACGGCGGCGGAGUGAAUAAGGUUUUCGGGUUGUAAAGAUCCGGUGUAAGGGAAGAACGAGUGGGAGAGUGAAAAGUGCACGCUGUGACGGUACCUUACCAGAAAGCGACGGCUAACUACGUG
rnacentral:rRNA from 1 species